rnacentral:rRNA from 1 species
GAUGAACGCUGGCGGCGUGCUUAACACAUGCAAGUCGAACGAUGAAGCCCAGCUUGCUGGGUGGAUUAGUGGCGAACGGGUGAGUAACACGUGGGUAACCUGCCCUUAACUCUGGGAUAAGCCUGGGAAACUGGGUCUAAUACCGGAUAGGAGCGCCUACCGCAUGGUGGGUGUUGGAAAGAUUUAUCGGUUUUGGAUGGACUCGCGGCCUAUCAGCUUGUUGGUGAGGUAAUGGCUCACCAAGGCGACGACGGGUAGCCGGCCUGAGAGGGUGACCGGCCACACUGGGACUGAGACACGGCCCAGACUCCUACGGGAGGCAGCAGUGGGGAAUAUUGCACAAUGGGCGAAAGCCUGAUGCAGCGACGCCGCGUGAGGGAUGACGGCCUUCGGGUUGUAAACCUCUUUCAGUAGGGAAGAAGCGAAAGUGACGGUACCUGCAGAAGAAGCACCGGCUAACUACGUG